UAUGAUCACAUCACGUUGAAGCACCAGUUCCCAUAUGAUUACUGAAGUUAGCAAUAUCGAGCCUGGUCAGUACCUAAUGGGUGACGACUUGGGAAUACCAGGUGUUGUAAG